rnacentral:tRNA from 1 species
AGGACCGUAGCUCAGUUGGACCAGAGCGCCGCGCUACGAACGCGGAGGUCGGGGGUUCGAAUCCCUCCGGUCCUGCCA